rnacentral:lncRNA from 1 species
UCGGUUCAACUGCAAAUUGGUUUAUCAAUACAAAUGCUAGAAUUCCACCUGUGAACACAAACAACUACACUAAUGGUUCACUUCCAAAUGGGUUUCUCAAUGCAAACUCUUAAAUUCUAAUUUCUCUUCUCCCAAUCCCGAUUCAUCUAAUCAUCAACAUCAUUUCUUCAAUUUUCUAGGUAAUUAAUUUAAAUUUAUGUUUAUUUAUGCUGUUUUUUGAUGAUUUCAAUUAUAUAGAUAGGACCAGUUUCGUCUCCCAUUUCACAAUUCUUUCAAUUCGUUCAUCUCUGGUAAAUUUACAAUUUUUACUACUCGAUUAUGUAUUAGGUUUUUUGAAUGGCCACCAGAAGACAUGAAUUUGUUAAGAAAAU